UGCCACAAGUUUGAUUGGCUUGUGGAUUACAUGGCAUCACAUGAGGCUGCUAUGGUCCGUGACCAGAUAAUGAAAUCAUCUUCUAUCCCAAUGCUCAAUCUCUUCCUUCUCCAAAUACACCCUUGAACUCUCCUUAGCUUCACCCAUUAUGUCCAUAUAUCCAUCAAAUUCAGCACAUGUAUAUGACUUGGCUGCAUUCCAAGCCAAACUCUCCAAGUGUUGUCCUAGAUGAUACUUCUUCAUGUUCUUCCAUAUAUGCCUCAUACAAAACCUGUGGUAGUGGUUCACAUCACUAAAGUUGACAUCAACACCAGCUUUGAGUCCCUUCUAUCUAUUAGAGAUAAAGGUUAAGGCCAUUUUAUGUUGCUUCAAAUAUGGUGUCAUAAUUCUCAGAAACUCUAUCCACAUCUCUUUGUUCUCAGAUCUACACAAGAAGAUAGCAAUUGGAAACAAACCAUUGUUUCCAUCCAUAGCAAUGAUAGCUAAUAGCACUUCCAUAUACUUUCCGUUCAAAUAAGUACCAUCUAACCCUAAUAAAGAUGACAACACUGUCAGGAUUUUUCAAUCUAAGUUGAUUACAGAAUUCAGGUUCAUCAUCAAAGUCAGAAUGAUAACCUUCUUCAGGCUCACAAUUAUUGAUGUUUGGUCUAACUGGUGGUACCACUGAAUGUUAUGGCUAUGAAGACUCCACCUGGGUAACUCCCUCAACUUGAAUGGGACCACCAAAUUCACUCAAGAACAUCCACAUUAACUGACCCCGUCACUUGUUCAUUUACAACUUCAGCUACUUCACCAACUGCAUUUACACCUUCAUGUGCGUUACCUGCAUUAACAUAUUCAUGUAUUGAACCUUUUGUUACACCUCUGCAAGGACCUUUCCUUUCACCUCUACAAGCACCUUUCCUUACACCUACAUUUACAACCUUACUGCCAGCUGCAUUUACAACUACUAGCACCUUUACCUUUCCUUACAUCUACAUUUACAGAUUUACAAGCAACUUCAUUUACAGAUUUACUAACAUCUGCAUU